UUCUUAUCAAGAGAAGUGGAGGGAACUGGCCCUAUGAAACUUCAGCAACCAGCCAUUAAUUGGCCAGGUGCUAAAUCCAGCGAAUUGAAUCUUUCAAUUCGGCAGAUAAGAA
rnacentral:ncRNA from 2 species